UACGGGGGGGGGCAAGCGUUGUUCGGAAUUACUGGGCGUAAAGGGUUCGUAGGUGGCUUGCUAAGUCAGACGUGAAAUCCCUCAGCUUAACUGGGGAACUGCGUCUGAUACUGGCGAGCUUGAGUGCAGGAGAGGAACGCAGAAUUCCAGGUGUAGCGGUGAAAAUGCGUAGAUAUCUGGAGGAACACCGGUGGCGAAGGCGGCAUCCUGGACCGGCAAUUGACGCUGAGGCGCGAAAAGCUAGGGGGAGCAAACGGG
rnacentral:rRNA from 1 species